rnacentral:misc_RNA from 1 species
GUGAAUCAUCGAAUCUUUGAACGCAAAUUGCACUCUUUGGUAUUCCGGAGAGCAUGCCUGUUUGAGGGUCAGUUUAAAUACAAACCGAGGUGUUGCUGUUUUGUGAACCAUCGGAUUUGGGUUAUCUUUGACCUUUUAAAAAGUUUAAGUGACCUAAAAUUGAUACCUUGUGCAUCUCAGACGUACAUAAGAAUAUUUUUUUAUUAGUCCGGAGUUGCAAACUUUCUAUUAGGUAUGACCAUGUUGUUUGUGG